rnacentral:lncRNA from 1 species
UUCGACUUGUGGUGCCCUGUGUCUGGUCUCCGCCGAAAAGCUUCGCUAAACCGAAAUCUGUGAUCUUAGGGCUCAUGUCUGAAUCCAGCAGAACGUUGCUGGCUUUUAGAUCCCGAUGUAUGAUUUUGUGCUGGGAUUCUUCGUGUAGGUAUAGCAGGCCUCGCGCGAUUCCACCGAUGAUCUUGUAUCGGGUUCCCCAGUGUAACCGCUCCCGUUUCUCAGCAUCUAAUGGAUGAACACAGAUGAUUGAAUUUACCAAUUCAAAAAGGAACGUAUGAAUACGGCAUGCAGCCAUGCACAAAGCAAGAGUACGUUUGAUCCAAGAAGAAGAAGAAGAAGAAGAAGAAGAAGAAGAAUCACCAAACAUAAGUUUGUCGAGGCUUCCAUUAGGAACGUAUUCAUAUACCAGCAUCUUCUCUUCUUCAAAGCAAACGCCCAAAAGUCUUACGAGAUUCCGGUGCUGGAGCUUAGCAACCAAAACAAGCUCAUUUUUCAGCUCCCCAAGCCCUUGUUCAGAAGCUAAAAGCUUCUUGACCGCGAUUUCUCGUCCAUCAGGCAGCAGUCCCUGCACAAGAAAAUGAGAUCAUGAUCACAAGAAAAAGUAUAGUGCAUGUGACAUUGCAAUGUAAUAGACUUGUAUAAUACCUUGUAAACUGCACCAAAGCCACCUUCUCCAAGUUUAUUCUCAUCCGAGAAGUUGCAUGUUGCUAUUCGUAAUGUAGAUAGAUCAAAUAGUAAGGACUCCACACUUGUGAUCUUCUCCGGGUCAGUCUCAUCUAUACAAAGAGCACACGCAUUCAAUCUAUACAAAGUUAUUGCUGUUUCGUUUGUGUUCACUUAAAUUAACAGACAUAGGUAAAUCAUGUUUUGAUACAGUAACAUCAUUCGAUGUUUCUCUUCCUUCCUUGGUCAGGCUAAAUUGUAUCCGCCUAACCAAAAUGGUAGAAAAGAAACUGGAAUUUUGGAAUAGCAAUAACAUGUGGCAAAAAAUUGCUUUCAGUCUCAGCUUACAGGAAGGUUUUUUAGCUGACUUCCUCCUCCAGAAGCAAAUACAAACGAUGGAGAUCAGUAGCACUGCAGUCGCCACAGGUAUCACAAUUGCAAGAAUAGUCCCUGUUGAAUUCUUCUUCUUUUUUCCUGCAUCGAGAUGUGUAAUUCCAUGAGUCUCUGUUGGCAAUCUUUUUUUUUUUGGCUUAUGUAUUUCGAGAAUAAGCAAAUCUUGUCAACUCAUAUGCUGCAACAAUAAGUGAAAAUAAAAUAAAAUUAACAAAGGAUAAAAAAGUCUAGCUAAAUUAGUUAGAAUAGACUGAUAUUUCCUCACUUAUUCUCCAAAUUAUCAAUGAAAACAUAGUACAUGGAAUCUAUCCCUAAUCUGAGGAACGCACUUAUGUGCCCAGUAGAAUUUGUAAUUUCCUUCAUUUAUGGUAUUACUUAUCCCAGAAGAAGUAAAAAAAUUAAUGUUCUUGACCUAUUAAUUAUAUGAUACUGUAUAUAUCUUCACAUCUAAUCAUUCAUACGAGCAUCAGAUGGGAAGAUGAGAGAGUGGAGAAGUCAAACUCGUCUUGCGGUUUCCUUUGUCGUGCAUCUCCUUUUCUCGGUCCAAUGACCGCAGUGGUGAUGUUGUCACAAACAUUAAUAAUGUGACACCAAACGCAGUGGCGACCUCUGUGCCAAGAAAAAACUGGCGGCAGUGGCGACUUUGUGAGGAGGACAGCAGAACAGAGUCAUCUGCCCUGUUUCGACUCUUACUGCUACGUGGAUGAUUCAUUUCGGUGCAGUUGUCCGAAGAAUGCCUCACAGAGUCAUACAGGCUGAUGCUUGUGGUGUGAGAUUUAUAGGACUCGAUGAAAUUUUCUACUGUUCUCGGUCUUAUGUUGCUUCUGUGAAAAACGACAGGAUGUGGACUUCCUGUCCUGUCUUCCAGAAGUAUGAUCCUGUGAAUCCCACCGGUCUGAUAAAUGUAAGAUUGUAGUAGGAAUAGGAGACCUCAGAUCGGGUGUUAUCCCACAUAAAAACCACAAAAACUCUAAGCAAUAGAUUAUAUUAAUUUUAUAUUUAUUUUUUGCCAUAGAUUUUUAUAUUUAUUCCUUUAAUUUGAGCUAUAGCUUAUUAGUUUUUGAUGAUGAUAUUAACAACAAUAUUUGGAGGAAUAUAUUUAAGUAGACAUAGCAGGAAUAUACAUACAACAAUAUAUACGAUGCAUAUUGCUAGGAAUUAAUGGCUGACCUGAUCCUCCACUGCCACCAGAGGCCGGCGGAGCAGUAAGUAUCAGCGUCGGGGUGCUUUGGUAGAAGGAGUACACCUCGUACCUCAUGUUGCACCUCACGCCCACCGCCCUCGCGCCCUGCUUCCCCUCGAACAGGUUCGGUAUCACGUCGAACAGCUUCUGCAAGCACUGCCUGCACCGACUCCUUGACAGGUCUGGGGUGCACUGCACCAGCCCGUAGAUGAUCGGAACCUCUGACGUGAAGUUGCUCAUCGUCCCGGUAGCGAACUUCUUCGAGGAGCCGUUGCUCGCCGCCGCCUGGUCCGCUAUCCCGCUCAUCAACUCACUCACCAGCUUGUCGAACCGACUCACUUCGGGUAUGUCCUUCUCAUUCACCAAGUACGCCAUGGGGGAGUUGUCGGUGGAGGAGAAGAAGGACUGGUUGUUGGAGUAACGGACGAGGCAGUCGUCAUACCAGACGGUGGCGCCCCUCUUGUUGGGGCAGAGCUGGAGGAGGACUUGACCGGCGGUAGCGAGGCAGGAGCUACAGUCGGCGGUGGCGACGUCGCCGCGGCAGAGAAUGAUGCCGGAGACCUGGUCAGGGGAUUGUCCGGCCGUGCCGUUGUAGAAGCCGGAAAGGGAGCCGUUUGAGGCGAGGGAGGAGAGGAGGAGGUCGAGGUUGGAUUUGUAGGUGCUGUUGGCGGUGUAGUUGCCAGUAUUGUCGCAAACUUGGUACAACGGCUGGGCCAUCGCAGGAGAAGAAGAGAAGCAGAGGACGACAAGAAGGCAGAGGAGGGAGAUGGAUCCGGAGGUGGCCAUGGUGGAAGGGAGGACGAUGAACUUGCAGAUGGCACCUGCGACUGCUGGUAUAAGGAAGACAAAAGUCAUUUCGGUUGACUAGUCAACCAAGCGAGUGUGUGGGCACGCGUAGCUCAGCCACUUAAAAGAAGAGCUACAAUAAAAAUCUCGUCAAUAUAAACAAAAUGUUCUUUACUCGUAUGACAUGAACGCAUGACAUUCACCUAUCUCAUUCUCACUGAGUAAUAAUAAUAAUAAUAAUAAUAAUAAUAAUAAUAAUAAUAAUAAUAAUAAUAAUAAUAUAAUUUACUUUUUUUUCUUUAUAUAAUUUAAUACCAAAUAUAUAGUAAACAAUCUAAUAGUACAGGUCAAAUAGAUUAGUGAUAGAAUAAUUUAUGUGAAAAAAUCUUUUUUUGUGUGAAGGAUAAUCUUCCACUAUAAAACCAUAAGAUUAUAAAAUUUACAUGGAUUAACCAGAGAAUAUUAAAUAUUAUAUAAAACCUAUGAAUCAAGACACUAGAAAGAAAAAUUAAACAAAAUAAAAAAUAUCAAGUAUAUCAUAAAACUAUGAUAAUCGAAACUAAUUUCAUUAAUCAAUUGUUGAAUUUUUCUUCUCCUUAUAUGAAAAUAUGUGAUGGUCAUCAUUUUAAUUUUUUCCAUCCAAAUCAUAUAAAAUUAAGAUUAUAUUUAAUUAACCUUCAAAGGUUCCAUCAUCUAAGUCAUGAGUGGGACCACCCAAUAAAUACGUUUGUAUAAUUGGACUGUAUCAACAACCUAAAACCCAAAGCUUGGUCAAUGAUUGAGAGGUAGGUGUCGUUGCUCUCUGAUGUUUGCAUCCAUGGUGGAUUGUUCUGUGUGUGACCUCAGUGGCAGUACCUUCUGAUGGGGCUGUGACUUGACUGACGGAGAAGAUGAGGCCUCGCACCAAAGACUUGGCAAAAGUGGGAAAGAGAUGGGUGGGGAAAUAAGUGGUGGCAACGUGAUCAGGUGACUAUUCUUUGUUCACCACAUUAAUUUAAAGUAGGAAGUGCUUGACAUAUGGAUCCAAGUAGAAGAAGAUGAUGCAAGCCAACGAUUAAUGGACUUUAUACAUAGACCAAGUGAGACUGAUAUAUACUAAUAUGAACGAGAGGGUGAUGACUGUUUAGGUAAUAAUUAAUCAUUUAUUUUCACAAGUUUAAGAUGGCAGGAAACAUGCCAAUAGUCUGCAUAAGCUCAAUGCCUUUUUUCCCAUGCUUAAUGAUAAUAAACCAUGAGAGUAUGGAUCGGGUAGGCAUGAGCUCUAGCUUACCGAACUCAUAUGCCAUGUUUUUAUUUUUAUGUAUAUAUAGAGGUUUUCUGAACUCAUAUGCCACGUGUUACGAUUUGAUUAGUGUGAAAUGUUCUCUUAAAUGAAAAAGAAUAUCUCAGCAAAAUCUUGGAUCCACGGUUGAUGGUGCAUCAAUUGAUGGAGGACGGAAGAAGAAGGCAAAAGAAAAUAUCGUUUUGGUUGACUGGUCAACCUUGCGUAUGACUUGCACAUUAUCGGUCAGAUGGUAUAUUAAUUAGAUUGUGACAUCACUCGUCGGAAGGGAGAUAUCGUUAUUAUUAUUGUUGUUAUAUGAUGUCGGCAUCGAUCGAGGUUUGCUCCGUGGGUAAUUGCUUUGCAUAAUGUUAUCUAGGGAGUUGAAUCUUCUGACGAGCUUUGUUGCGGAUGUGGCGUGAGUGACAAGGAGAUGAGGCCUCACGUAAAGAUGAAGGUAGUAAGAACGAGAUGAUGGAUGGAAAGAUUGGUGGUCACAACAUGAUUAAUUGACAAUCAUUAUCUCCAAAAUUAGUUUUAUCUAGAACGUCUUUGAUGAGGUCAUGUGAGUUGAAGUGCUCGGUGAAAUAGUAUAAGAAUUAUAUUCUAAAACGUACUAUGGAGGUUGUGACGACUACAUGAAUGGUUAAUGUUUUGUUGUGUGGUCUCAUCAAGCAUUUUUGUAUAUCGUAACAAAAUUUUUUAUUUUUAGAAUAAAUUUAUUAAAAAAAUUAUAUAUAUAUUUUUUUCUCUUAGAACGCUCAUUUUAAUGUUUUAAAAGAUGAUGUUAUCCUUAAUUGUCAUGAUCAUCUUUGACUCAUUGUUCAUCGUCUUUACCUCUUAUUAAUCAUCUUUAACACUGCCCGUCGCCUCACCCCAUCAUGCCCUCGCCCUUGAUCCACUCAGUUCUUCAUGCCUUUAAGCCUAACUCAAUCUCAUUUCUCAAUAGGAAGGAAUUUUGACCCUUCCCUUCCUCUAAAAGUUCCUCCUUUGGCGAAGAUAACAUCGACAAUGCCCACUCAAAUGAGGAGGUCCAUCCCUCACGAUUCAGUCAAUCUAGGAAUAGAGGAAGGAAGGAGUUUCACCCCUUCCAUUCCUCUAGAGGAGUUCCUCUGAUGAUGUAUUCCCUUCCUUUGAAGGCUCCAAGCCUUUCUUUUAGAGCGUGUUGCUUUGAGUGCAAGUGGAGGAGGGCGAGCAAGAGAACACUACUCGUUUGAGGGGUCAAGUCGAGUGGCAAGGGCAUGAAGGAGAGGGCAAGAGGAAAAGGGUCGAAUCAGGUAACAAGGACGUAAAAAGGUCAUGUGGAUCUUAAGAAGAUAAAUGCUCCAUGAGAAAAAAAAAAAAAAAAAAAAAGCCCAUGGCCAUGUGAUCUUAAGUGAAGGAUUAUAGUAAAAAUGACUUUUUGUAUUCGCUUGAUUCAUGAAGUUACAUAUAUUAUAUAUUUAUACAGGUUGAGGAGGAUUUGAUUGUUCUCCAAUCAUGCUUAUGAAUCAAGGUGAUUGCCUUUGAAUCAUGAGAUGAUUAAUACGAUGCAGAUACAAACAAUAAGUAUAUUAAGAUCACAAUCUAUUAACCAUUUAAUGUCUAAUUUGUGACUCAUUUUCUAUCAGUCUCUUAUAAGAUUGAACUUCCAUCAUGAAUGUUAUUUUUUGAAUGAUGUGAGUGAAACACCUUGUAAGUAAUUAAGUAGCUUUAUGAGAGAGUCUAUUAAUUACUCAAAAGUAUGGAUAUGAGAUAUAUGUAGCUAAUAUGAAAGUCGAUAACAAUGUACUUCAUACAAGAAUGAAAUGUCAUAUUGGAGUUUUGUAGCAGUGGUGGGAAUGAUAUGAUACUUGGCAAUCGUGGUAGAAUAUGUAAUUAUUUUUAUUUCUUAAAACUCCAACUGAUAGGAUUUAUAUUGAGAAAUACAAUAUACAUCGAUGUUGAUAUUCUAUCAUUGGUGUUACCUACCCAAUCAACAUUAACAAAUGCAUAAAAAUAAGAGAAUGAUUAUUUUCGAAGAAGAAGAUUAUGAUUGAAGAUUUCUUGAAGGAAUCAUAGGAUACUCUUCAUUAUAGUCAAAUGAGUUAUAAAGGAUUGAUGCAUAAACUGUGAUAAUUUAUUGAUUCCAAAUUAGAUGUCUAGACGAGUAAGUGAUAAGUACUAUAAGGAGCUAAGUAUUUGGAAUCCGUAGCAAGACAACUAUCAUGUAGUUUGAGUGACUCAAUGAAAGAAGGUGGGGUGACAACUUCUUUAGUAUUUCACAUAUUUAUCUUCAAUACGAGAUCUUAAAUAUAUUUUUUUUAAGAAAGAAAAAGACUAGUAGAUGUAAAGCCACCCUCUAUACCCAAAAACUAGCUUAGUAGCUCUAAAUCUUUAAUGGAGAAUCGAUCCACUAGUUGUUUAAAAAAGUAAUUAAUCUCAAUGGAGUUAUUGACUAUGAUGAUGAUGUCAUCUAUAUAGACUAAUAAAUAUGUGGUACAACCCUUUUGUUAUUUUAGGAAUAAGGAGUUAUCAAAUUUGAAAUUAACAAAAUCGGUUGACAUCAAAUAUGAGCUAAGUUCAUUAUAUCAUACUCUUGGAGCUUAGCAAAAUCCAUAUAUAGCUUUCUAUAGUUUACAUAUAUGGUUAGGAUGUUAAAGAUGAAUGAAACAAAGAAAUUAUUGGAUAAAGAUAUUAUGAGUCAAAGUACCAUACAAAAUAGCAUUAUUAACAUUCGAUCAUCGUAACUACCAACAUUGAGUGACGGCUAAAUUCAGGAUAAGUCAAAUUAUCAUAGAUUUAAUAAUAGGACCGAAGGUUUAUGUAAAGUCAAUGCUCAAAAUUUAGUAAACCUCGUGCUUUGUAUCUAGCAAUGGAUUUAUUAGGGUUCUACCUAAUUUGAAAGGUUCACUUACACUUGAUAUCAUUUUGUGUAUGAUUGAAUGGUACAAGAGUCCAUGCAGUAUUACAUACUAAAAUAUCAUAUUCGUCAUAUAUGGUUUUAUGCUAGUGGAGUAAUUUUUGAACUUUAGUGAAACUUAAGGGUUUCAUAGACUCAGCAGGGUAGCUUGUGGUGGUAUAGAGAUCAAAAAAUUGAUAUGGUUUAAAGAUAUUAUUUUUGGAUUGAGUUGUCAUUGCUAGUUACAAGUGCCCUACAAGAUAAUCACAUAAGUAAUAGCAUAUGUGACGAGCUGCACAGUCUUUUUAGUUAUUAUUAAUAUCAUGAUAUUUUAUUACUUUAUAUUGGAUGAUGAAUAUAUUGUGAUGUCCUUGGAUUUGUACAAUAGGAAUUGGAUCUUGAUGAUAUUAUGAUAAUGAGAUCAAUCCGCCUUUAAACAUAGAUCCUAAAUAUUCUUAAUCAUAUGUUACUUGAGAGAGAUAUCGGGAUAAUAAGAUAGACUAGUGUGUUAUACACCCAUCCAUAUGAUGGAGAUAGUGUCAAUAGAGGAUCAUCCGCUCUUAGUGUUGUUGGUGAACUGAUGUGCCGUGGCUAAUGAGUCAGCACAGCCUGGUUUACGGGUCGAUGUCGGGAGUCUUCGGUCGGCUGAGCUGGAUGCCGAGGGCGGCCAGGCUGUAAUCACAUCAAAUAUUUAAGUUAGGAAUUGAUUUUCUUUCCUUACUUGUUAUUAUAAUUUAAGGAAAUCCUAAUCUACUUCCUUGUUUGUUGAUAUGAAUUAAGGAAAUAACUAGUAAGUAUUCCAAAUAUGAUGAUAUCAUAUUUGGUAGUAUAUUAAAUGGAAAUAAUUUAUAAAUAUGAAAAUUAAAAUUUAUUUCCCUUAAUAGAGGCUCGCCUCCUCCUAUUUAAAGGGGAGGGAUCUCUCUCCUUCGUUCCUCACCUAGUCGAGCCUGGCAACGGGAGGAACGAGGAGUUACACCCUAUUGAUAAGAGAACGAGGAGUUGCACCCUAUUGACAAGAAAUAGGUUUCCCUACCUUUCUUAAAAGUUUUAGCUUUUAUUUUGAUUCUUUAAAUGUUGAAAGUUUUAUAGUUUAAAAAAUGUGUAUCAAUUCUUUAAAUGUCAAAAUUUUUUUUAUUAAAGUAAUCAGUUAAAGUUUUCAAAAUAUUCUUUGAUCCAUGAUUAAGGUUUUUAUUGUAGAAUUAAAUAUGUUAAAAAGAUAUAUGUUUUAUUUGAUAUAUUUUCUGUAUUAUAGUUUAUCUUUAAUCUUAUCUGGAUUAAAAUCUUGUUAGACUAGAAUAUGUUAUCAAAAAUCCCUUUUUUGAUAUUCUUUGAUCUGAAAUUUAAAAUAUAUUAUUCUGAAUGAUUUAAAAUAUGACUAGAAUAUGUUGAAAUUUUAUGUGUUGAAAACAUGAUUUUUAUUUGAAUUUAGAAAGCUAUUUCCUUGUAUUAAAAUUUAUCUCCUAGUCCCUCUUUUAAUGUCUUAUGAUUUCUAGUCAAAUUGAGAAUGUUAUUUCUUUGUAUUAAAGUUUUUCUCCUCAUCUAUCUUUUAAUGCAUUAUUAUGUUUUUAUUUAUGUUGUUAAUGGGUAUAUGCUAUGACUAGUCCAUGGGCCAGGGCUGGGCCAGUUUUAUGUAAUGCAUGCUCAAUCAUGUAUAAUGCACAUGACCAGUAGAUGAACUUGCUCAAUCUAGCCCAAUAUUAUUAUUAAACUUGAGCCCAAAUAUUGAUUGAACUAAACUAGACUUGAUUAGUCUAUAUAAAUUCAGGGUGAUUCCGAAUUGAUUGACUUAUUCAAGUUAGUUUAACAUAAAUUAAACUUAAUCUAAUCUAAAUUAUACUAGUCACACACACUCACACAAGAUAAAAAGUAGGUUUACAUAUAAAUAAUACAGCAAGCAGCAGUGAGUCGAUAAAUUAUUACAGUGCCAAAGUAUCUUAGCAUCCAUAAGCAAAACCGUAAGGUCAUCCAUCACUGGCUACUCUUUAUCUCGGUUCUAAUUCUGAAAUGGAAACUUCGUUUGGUGACAUUGUUACAGACUGAGUUGUUUGGUUUUUUGUACCGAGAAUCGAUUUGUUCGAGUUUGGGUCCAUGCUGCUCUUCCCCACGCAGAAUGCAGGCCGUGAUGGAGCUGGGAGAGACACACUGUCACUGUUCAGCAUCACAUUGACUGUGGACAUCUUGGGUCUGUCAACUGGAUUCUCCUGAACACACAGCAGUCCGAUCUUGAUGCAUUUCAACACGUCACUACUCGGGAACUGGAUGCCCAGAACUGGGUCUAAUAUCUCAAAGCCUCUUCCUGCGGUCCACCUCUCCCAUGCCUGUUUCAGAGAGACCAAGAUGAUCGAUGUCACAGUAUGGGAUUGUAUCAGUACCCACAUAUGUAUCGGGUUUACGAAUGCACUUCCAUACUCACAUAGCUUAGAAGGUCUUCCGAGUUGGCAGAGUCGUAGGAACCAGUGUUCUUCCUCCCUGUCAAGAUCUCCAGAACCAGAACACCGAAGCUGAAUACAUCUGACUUGGCUGAGAAGCGGCCGCGCAUGGCAUACUCCGGUGCCAUAUACCCACUGCAACGAAAUAAAAAAGUACCUUAGGAAGACUAAUAAGCAAACCUAUUUGUAUGAGAGAAGAUCGUACUGAGUCCUACUCACAAUGUUCCCACGAUUCGACUUGUGGUGCCCUGCGUCUGGUCUCCGCCGAAAAGCUUCGCUAAACCGAAAUCUGUGAUCUUAGGGCUCAUGUCUGAAUCCAGCAGAACGUUGCUGGCUUUUAGAUCCCGAUGUAUGAUUUUGUGCUGGGAUUCUUCGUGUAGGUAUAGCAGGCCUCGCGCGAUUCCAUCGAUGAUCUUGUAUCGGGUUCCCCAGUGUAACCGCUCGCGUUUCUCAGCAUCUAAUGGAUGAACACAGAUGAUUGAAUUUACCAAUUCAAAAAGGAACGUAUGAAUACGGCAUGCA